rnacentral:rRNA from 1 species
UACGAAGGGGGGCUAGCGUUGCUCGGAAUCACUGGGCGUAAAGGGUGCGUAGGCGGGUCUUUUAAGUCAGGGGUGAAAUCCUGGAGCUCAACUCCAGAACUGCCUUUGAUACUGAAGAUCUUGAGUUCGGGAGAGGUGAGUGGAACUGCGAGUGUAGAGGUGAAAUUCGUAGAUAUUCGCAAGAACACCAGUGGCGAAGGCGGCUCACUGGCCCGAUACUGACGCUGAGGCACGAAAGCGUGGGGAGCAACAGG